UGAAGAAGAUACUCAAGCGACGAGGGAUUGACCCAAACAUCCACAAGCCCUUGACUGAAACAGAAGCACAAGAUGAGAAGAAAUGCAGAGAAAUGAAGACUACUUGCAAACAUCUCAGCCCAAGAAACAGAGAACCUUAUCAAGUUUACAACUUGGGACUACAGUUUCCAUUAACGAUUCAAACUACUAUGUUCAGGCUGUGACCAAGCAAGUCUUUGAUCCUUUCCCUUUGUUUGAAUUCCAAGAGAGCACAAUCAAUCCAACAGGAUCUAAUCCCAACUUUCUGUAUCAAAGCCACCAAGAUUCCAAAACUUUGAAUCAGAAUCAAACCCAUUUGGAAACGAGCUCAGAAUUUGGGUUUUCUUUGAUUCGCCAUCCAGCUUCUUGUGAUAAUGUCACAGAGACAGAU